rnacentral:tRNA from 2 species
GCGCGAGUGGCGGAAUUGGUAGACGCGCAGGUCUCAGAAGCCUGUGGGGUAAUACCUGUAGGAGUUCGACUCUCCUCUCGCGCA